rnacentral:pre_miRNA from 1 species
UCAGUAACAAGGAUUCAUCCUGUUGUGGUGCUGUAGGCUGACAGGAAAUCACUGUUACUGGGG